UUAUAUUUCAGUACUGAGGGAAAUCUGCUGUUGAGACCAGGCCCAGCAAUGCAUGUCAUUUGAGGGGCUAUCCUUUAAGCAACUGAAACAAAAUACACACUGUUCUACAACAUAAUGGAUGAAAAAGGUUCUGCUGAUAUAGGCUGCAUAUAGUGUAAUGAAGCAGGGAAUGCUUAGAGUUUAAAAGAUCAGGUCAACGCUCAAGUCUAAUGAGGCAUUCUAAAGGUGAUGACUGUCAGAAAUGGCCAAAAUAGGACUGUUGAGUAUUGACUGGAACAUGGCCAUACAGCCCGGAAAACAUACAACAACACUGUUGAGUAUUGACUGAACUGGAGCCAAAGGUGGAACUCGAAGUGAAAAUUAGCAAUGCAGAGGGAUACAAUUAUCUGGGAUAGAUUUUUGAGAGGAUCAGAGGAACUGAAGAGAAUGGAAACUAGAGAGGUCAAAGCUUCAAAGAGUAGGAGGAAAAAUUGGGAAUAUUGCAUGUUUGUGUGCUACGCUCCAUCAUUUCCAUAAUUUCUCAUAACACUUCUGAAUGUAUGAAUACUGGGUGGGAACUGCGUAGAAAAAAACUUUUUUUUACUGUAGUAGAGAGAAAACAAUUGAAAUUAUUCAUUGUCAUGAUGAUGAUGAUGAUGUUGAUAAUAAAACUUUAUUUGUAUUCUACUUUAUCUCCUCAAGGGGACUCAGGACGGAUUCCAACAUAUAAUGGAAAACAUUCAAUGCCUCUAUAAAACAAACAAAUGCUGACAUAAAAUCCCAGAGAAACCCUGUAUAUGAAAAUAAAAUUAAAACCCAACAUCAAAUUAAAGCCUAACAUCAAUAAAUUAAACUAUACGUAGUCAAACAAAAUUAUAUAAUAACAUAAAAUCUAAACAAACAUCCACAUUAAUUUACAGCCAACUAGAGUUCACAAAACAGCGUGGGUUGGUUGUGUAUGUCAGUAUAUGGUUUUAUAUGAAGUGAAAUGUUGCUUAUAGUUUAAACUGUGUGGUUAAGUAACGAAUGAGUUAAUUCAUAGUUGUGAUGUAUUGCUACAGUGUAACUUUGGGAGGUUCCUGUACAAGCCGAUGGAGGGCUGAUAAGAUUGGAAUGUGCUAUUUGCAGUAUGCUUUGCGGUGAAAGGACGUGACUGAUGAUUCUCCGAUCUCCUUUGUACAUAUUGUAUAUUUUGAAAUAAAGUAAAGAGCCACUUUGAAAGUUGAACCAAAGGGUCCAGUGUAUUCCUGCUUUUCAGGCAAGUGGCCUGAAAGGUUGAAGGAGAAUUGAGGGAAGGAUUUCCAGACGUGAUUUCCAGCAGAGGAGAGCAGGGCCUCCUCCGAUGACGGCAGGGCCCCAGCUGGUUUGUAAGGAGCCAGACCUGGCUGCCGGUCAGGGCUCCUUAUGCUCUAUUCAGGAUCACACAUUGCAGGGCAU